CCCCAGACCCAGAGAGCACUGACCAGAACACCCCCCACUCUACAGACCCAGAGAGCACUGACCAGAACACCCCCCACUCUCCAGACCCAGAGAGCACUGACCAGAACACCCCCCACUCUACAGACCCAGAGAGCACUGACCAGAACACCACCCACUCUACAGACCCAGAGAGCACUGACCAGAACACCACCCACUCUACAGACCCAGAGAGCACUGACCAGAACACCCCCCACUCUACAGACCCAGAGAGCACUGACCAGAACACCCCCCACUCUACAGACCCAGAGAGCACUGACCAGACAGACGUCAGGGACAAGAACUAGUAACCACAACAACCGAAAUAUACAGUACGCCUCCCUGACGGAAAACACAUCACACACACACACAUACUUCAUAACCACCCCCGCCAACUGUACAGGCCAGGCCCAUGGAGCAGCAGGAUUAGCUAGGGAUUUCCUUAAAUCUCUCUACAGCGGGACACGUGUUCUCACGAUACUCUUGUCUGUUUAGCAUCAGAGGGACACCAACUGUUCAGGGCCGUCAGGUCGGCCCCUCCACCAACUGUUCAGGGCCGUCAGGUCGGCCCCUCCACCAACUGUUCAGGGCCGUCAGGUCGGCCCCUCCACCAACUGUUCUGGCCGUCAGGUCGGCCCCUCCACCAACUGUUCCGGCCGUCAGGUCGGCCCCUCCACCAACUGUUCAGGGCCGUCAGGUCGGCCCCUCCACCAACUGUUCAGGGCCGUCAGGUCGGCCCCUCCACCAACUGUUCCGGCCGUCAGGUCGGCCCCUCCACCAACUGUUCAGGCCGUCAGGUCGACCCCUCCACCAACUGUUCAGGCCGUCAGGUCGGCCCCUCCACCAACUGUUCAGGCCGUCAGGUCGACCCCUCCACCAACUGUUCAGGGCCGUCAGGUCGGCCCCUCCACCAACUGUUCAGGCCGUCAGGUCGGCCCCUCCACCAUCUGUUCUGGCCGUCAGGUCGGCCCCUCCACCAACUGUUCCGGCCGUCAGGUCGGCCCCUCCACCAACUGUUCAGGGCCGUCAGGUCGGCCCCUCCACCAACUGUUCAGGCCGUCAGGUCGGCCCCUCCACCAUCUGUUCUGGCCGUCAGGUCGGCCCCUCCACCAACUGUUCCGGCCGUCAGGUCGGCCCCUCCACCAACUGUUCAGGGCCGUCAGGUCGGCCCCUCCACCAACUGUUCAGGGCCGUCAGGUCGGCCCCUCCACCAACUGUUCAGGGCCGUCAGGUCGGCCCCUCCACCAACUGUUCAGGCCGUCAGGUCGGCCCCUCCACCAACUGUUCAGGCCGUCAGGUCGGCCCCUCCACCAUCUGUUCUGGCCGUCAGGUCGGCCCCUCCACCAACUGUUCAGGCCGUCAGGUCGGCCCCUCCACCAACUGUUCCCCCAAACUUUAAACUCACACACUGCCUACGACCCUGUGCCUUUAUCACAGUCGACAACACACAUAUGUUAUAGUAAGAAUAGGCACGUCAUGAAAUCAAACAGAAUGAAAGAGAACAUACAGAAUAACAGCCCUGGGGUUUAUGCCUUUUUAAUCCGGCCCCCGGAGAGAGGGGGGGGGUACUUCUGCAGUUUUAAGGAGUGACAGCUGCCAAAAGUGGCUGUAGUUUAGCACCUUAGUCACUGGUUACAUGACUACCCGGUAAUCAGGCAGCAGCAUGCUAUAAACCACACAUCUCUGUUGGGUGAUAUAUAGCGAACAAGACAUUCUAUGAAAUCACAGAUUCUGACAUGGGGUGAACUGGGUGGAUGGCUGGCAGCAAUGGGUACCCCAUUCACAAAUCAAAUAGCCAAUAAAUCAAAAAUUGUGUGAAUAUUUAAAUACAUAACCAGACAAUUUAACUUCCGUUAGCUAACUAGUCAGAUUUUUUUAUUUAACCUUUAUUUAAUAGGUAAGCUAGUUGAGAACAAGUUCUCAUUUACAACUGCGACCUGGCCCAGAUCAAGCAAAGCAGUUC